CAUUUGUUCUCUAAAUAAGGACUUGUAUGAAUGGCCGCACGAGGGUUUUACUGUCUCUUACUUCCAAUCAGUGAAAUUGACCUUCCCGUGAAGAGGCGGGAAUGCACAAAUAAGACGAGAAGACCCUAUGGAGCUUUAACUAACCAACCCAAAGAGAAUAGAUUUAACCAUUAAGGAAUAACAACAAUCUCCAUGAGUUGGUAGUUUCGGUUGGGGUGACCUCGGAGAAUAAAAAAUCCUCCGAGCGAUUUUAAAGACUAGACCCACAAGUCAAAUCACUCUAUCGCUCAUUGAUCCAAAAACUUGAUCAACGGAACAAGUUACCCUAGGGAUAACAGCGCAAUCCUAUUCAAGAGUCCAUAUCGACAAUAGGGUUUACGACCUCGAUGUUGGAUCAGGACAUCCUGAUGGUGCAACCGCUAUCAAAGGUUCGUUUGUUCAACGAUUAAAGUCCU
rnacentral:rRNA from 1 species